UCAAGAAAGAAAGAAAGUGGUGCUUCGCCUAAACUAACAAGUGAGUGGGCCCAGCUCUCAGCCACAGCGUUGAGCCCCCCGCAGAAGUUGGACGCCCAUCGUCUCACGGACCCCCUUGAGGACCCAGAAGGCUCCCAGGCGCUCCUGAGAUGACAGACCCAGAGACCGAGACGUUAGCUCCGGAGCUGGCCUCAACAGUCCCGGCUCCAUGGACGCGGUGUCCCCGCCUUCAGCCUCACGACUGUUCCCCGGCCGGCCGAUUCAGACGAGUCCAGAGGACGCCAGCAUCAGACCUCCUCCUGACGGGUGCGCGGAGCAAGAUCAUCUGCAUUAGUCAUUGUGGAUAAUGUCAUCAUGGAAAUUGAGUUAUCCUCUGGACACUGGUACAUGUGGACACCUAAACAGGGCAAACUCUGAAAAUGUGUACAGUCACAAUGUAAUUUGCCAUAUAAAUGGACAGAUGUGAUGUGAUGUGCAGCUUUUUCGAACAGGCAUUGAAUUGUUACCCGUGUGGCAUGAGUACAUAAAUUAUACAUUUUGAAUGUGUGUGUGGUUGUGUAUAAUCAUAUGCAUAUAUUAUAAAAAAUAUAACUUUUAUACUGUAAUAAUAUUGUCUCACCUUCAGAAAAUUCAA